rnacentral:lncRNA from 1 species
GCAAGAUACUAUAUAAGAUGCAAAAACUGAAUAAUAUCCCUGCCCUCAUGGAUCAUCCAAUCUAGCUGGAAAUACAGAACACUUUCACCUUGGACUCAAGAGAUGUAGUCUUUAUGAAAUACUGUGCUUAGCUUCUAAAGAGUGUGAAGAGAGUCAAUCAUUGGAAAUACAGCUUGGAACACUUCUUUCCUGAUAGAAGACUAGAAGACCACAAUCAGG